AUACGUAGGUGGCAAGCGUUGUCCGGAAUUACUGGGUGUAAAGGGCGUGUAGGCGGGGAUGCAAGUCAGAUGUGAAAUUCCGGGGCUCAACCCCGGCACUGCAUCUGAAACUGUGUCUCUUGAGUGCUGGAGAGGAAAGCGGAAUUCCUAGUGUAGCGGUGAAAUGCGUAGAUAUUAGGAGGAACACCAGUGGCGAAGGCGGCUUUCUGGACAGUAACGGACGCGGAGGCGCGAAAGCGUGGGUAGCGAACAGGAUUAGAUACCCUGGUAGUCCACGCCGUAAACGAUGGAUACUAGGUGUAGGAGGUAUCGACCCCGUCUGUGCCGGAGUUAACACAAUAAGUAUCCCACCUGGGGAGUACGGCCGCAAGGUUGAAACUCAAAUGAAUUGACGGGG
rnacentral:rRNA from 1 species